rnacentral:misc_RNA from 1 species
AACAUCGCGCACCUGCGGGAACCUGCGGAAGGAUCAUUACCGAGUGUGAACCCCCCCGUAAAAAAGAGGGGUUACCUCCCGUCCUUUGCUGGGAACCCCUUUCCAACUUGGAAGGAGGUUGUUUUCAGACCCUUCUGCUUCGGUGGGGUAACCCACCGGAACAACCUCAAAAAUAUUCUCAAUUCAAAACCGUUCAGUCCGAGAACUUUUUUGAAAAGCGAAAAAACUUUUAACAAUGGA